rnacentral:rRNA from 1 species
GGCGAGUAGGCGAACGGGUGAGUAAUAUAUCGGAACGUGCCCAGUCUGGGGGAUACGUAGCAAAGCUACGCUAAUACCGCAUACGAUCGUAUGGAUGAAANCGGGGGAUCGCAAGACCUCGCGCGAUUGGAGCGGCCGAUAUCAGAUUAGGUAGUUGGUGAGGUAAAGGCUCACCAAGCCGACGAUCUGUAGCUGGUCUGAGAGGACGACCAGCCACACUGGGACUGAGACACGGCCCAGACUCCUACGGGAGGCAGCAGUGGGGAAUUUUGGACAAUGGGCGCAAGCCUGAUCCAGCAAUGCCGCGUGCAGGAUGAAGGCCUUCGGGUUGUAAACUGCUUUUGUACGGAACGAAACGGUGAGCUCUAAUACAGUUUGCUAAUGACGGUACCGUAAGAAUAAGCACCGGCUAACUACGUG